CAGCCGCCGCGGGAAUACGGAGGGUGCAAGCGUUAUCCGGAUUUAUUGGGUUUAAAGGGUCCGUAGGCGGAUCUGUAAGUCAGUGGUGAAAUCUCACAGCUUAACUGUGAAACUGCCAUUGAUACUGCAGGUCUUGAGUAAAUUUGAAGUGGCUGGAAUAAGUAGUGUAGCGGUGAAAUGCAUAGAUAUUACUUAGAACACCAAUUGCGAAGGCAGGUCACUAAGAUUUAACUGACGCUGAUGGACGAAAGCGUGGGGAGCGAACAGGAUUAGAUACCCCGGUAGUCCCUGUCUCUUAUAA
rnacentral:rRNA from 1 species